AUGCGGUAUUCUGUGUAGAUUGAUGAGGGGGAAAAACUAUCUAAUCAAUUUUAGAAGGCUGUAACAUAACAAAAUGUGGAAAAAGUCAAGGGGUCUGAAUACUUUCCGAAGGCGCUAUAUAUAUUUGAAGCAAUAUGAAUUACAUGUUAGGGUUUCUAAUGGCAUAAGAUUUGCAAAGUGGUAUGUCUGUGAAAAAUCAGGGAACAAAUAAUGCUCUAAGAAAUAUCAGAGGACUCACAUUAUCUACAGUCCAGAGACUGAAAAACAAGAGAACAGAUUCCUCCAAAUGAAACAAUCUUGUUUUCUACAUCUUCCUCCCUUCAUCGCUUGCUAUGUCUCAUUACUUUGAUGUCUGACAGACAGACAGACAGACAGACAGGCAGACAGACAGAGAGAGAGAGAGAGAGAGAGAGAGGGAGAGAGAGAGAGAGAAACAGACAGACAGAGAAACAGACAGACAGAGAAACAGACAGACAGAGAAACAGAGACAGAGAGACAGACAAACACACCAAAUCCUCAGAUGUUCUUCCGCCCAAAAGAGAAAAGAAAAGAACAGAGCUUCAAAUAAACCCGUUGCAAUUCUUUUCCAGUUCAGUCAUCCUCAUCCUCGACUCUGCCAGGUUAGGGAACUCAUUUAAAUGUCUCCCCCCUCUCCUCUCUUUUCUUCUCUCCUAUCUCGCUCUCCUUAUUCCUCUACUUGUCUCUUCUCUCCUUUCCUCAACCUCACUCCUCUCUGCUUUCUCUCCCCCUGUCCUCUCUUACCUCCCUUCUCCCCAUUUCAACCCCUCUCUCUCUCCUCCACUGAAUGAGAUGCCUGUGUCUGAUGUCCCGAGACAAUUUGCAGAGCCGGGUGGCACCCCUACCCUCAGACCGAAGCACUGUGCCUCCCGCUCCCUGGCACACACACACACACAGACACACUGCUCCCUGGCAAAGAGGAGAGGAAUUAUUUUUAUCCCCAGAACGCACUGGUUAUGCACCGAUGAUUUCAAAUGCCUGGCUGGCGUGCGUCUCACAUUGUCAGGGAUGAUUCUGGAGAAG
rnacentral:lncRNA from 13 species